rnacentral:ncRNA from 2 species
UAUUUUGAUAGAGGUUGCAAACCUUAAGAAUUUGUAAGUAGAAGGCAUUCAUUGACUUACAACGGGCGAAGUUUUGCCGAAUAAAAUGGAUAGGCAUAUGCAUUUUAUGGGGAUAUGGCGAAGAACCAUAUCACUGUUUACGUAAUGUAAAAGCGCUAUCUACUUU